GACUCUCGACAACGGAUAUCUCGGCUCUCGCAUCGAUGAAGAACGUAGUGAAAUGCGAUACUUGGUGUGAAUUGCAGAAUCCCGUGAACCAUCGAGUCUUUGAACGCAAGUUGCGCCCGAAGCCAUCCGGCCGAGGGCACNUCUGCCUGGGCGUC
rnacentral:rRNA from 1 species